AAGCAAGACACUGUAACAGAGAGACGAAGAAGAAGAAGGGGUUGCCGGAGCAAUCUUCCGAAAAUGGUGAAGCCUUCGUCGUCGUCGUCCUCUACGAGCCAGGACUCCCUUGCCCUUUUCAAUUCUCUGAGAUCGGCUUACUCCGCCACUCCUACCGCUCUCAAGAUCAUUGAUUUCUAUGUUGGUUUCGCUGUAUCCACAGCUAUCAUCCAGGCUUUUGAAGCACCAGUUGCUGUAAUGUGAAAAGGGACUUGAAGAAUCAAACUUUUAGACAAACUAAACAAUGCAAGUCAUAUAACUCAAGGAAGAGGACAUAUACCAGUUAAUCAAACACAAGCUUUAGUCCAGUUUUCCUCUACCUCUUGGGGUCUUAUCUUAAUACUCGGACACAAGACAUGAAGCUCUACUACAUAAAUUGCAUGAUGAAUAUCAAAAUUUGUUAGGAUAUAGGCAUUACAUGAGCAUGACAACAUGUAGCAUAACUCAUACAUGAAAAUAUUAUUUACAUAUCAUUUGUCUUGAUAUCGAUUCAAUGUUGUGAAGUUGAGUCUCAGUUCUUGAUAGAGAAAAGUCCUAAAAUUUGUUUUUGUUGGAGUGUUUGGGCUUUAUAUGUUAAAGGACAUAAUGUCCUAUAGACCACUUCUUUUCCAACCAUGAGCCCAACAACCCUCCCUUUAUAACUAUUUGAUUACACGCUGAGCGCAUGUUUUACAACUGUUUGAUUCACCAUAUCCACUUCUCUAUUGCCUAAAUGAAAUCCUGUGUUGCAACUUGAUGUUGGUUAAUUAAUUCUUGGGCCUUUUAAUUCUUUAUUUGAUUAUCUACUU